GGAGAGGAAGGUGGCAGCAUUACUAAUCGGAUGUUUGACUGGGAAAUGUAAAGAGAUAGUCAUUACAUGGACAUCUGGAGAAAAAAACAGCACAUGGAAGUAUCAAGUGUUCUGGGGCCGCCUAGACAGAGGGAAACAAGAGCUAGACUACCUGCUCGUGAUCCCAGGAGGCUAAUGGAACACUGAUGUAUCACGGUUCCUGCCUUGUGAAUUUGGAAGCAGGAUUCUGCUCCUAGGAAAAGAUGAGAAUAGAGCUCCAGUCUAUUCUUGCUGCAGUAAUUUGAAAACUAUGGGACCAUCAAUCUGUUGUGAAUGCUGUCUAAAGCAGAUCUUAUCUCUCAGAGUUAUCAAACUGAGCUGCUCCAAAGGCUUGACAUAAAUUACCUGUUAAACGUAUAACAUCUUCUCCUAUGGAUUCCUCCUGGGCAAGAAUGGCAUCUCGGUGCAGGACCCGCAGCACUUUCUCUGGCUCCGCAGACCCGUAAUGAGCCUCCAGAACCUCAGGCUUGGUUUUCUCUGUCUUCAGCAUGUGGAUCACAUCUUCUCUAGCCUGUAAUAGAAAGUGCAGCAAGAUCAGACGACUGACAAUGUAAAUCGCAUACUGGGCUCAAAAAAUCAACAGAGAGCUUAUUGAAUACAUCCCCAUC
rnacentral:antisense_RNA from 1 species